UACGGAGGGUGCAAGCGUUAUCCGGAUUUACUGGGUUUAAAGGGCGCGUAGGCGGACAGGAAAGUCCGUGGUGAAAUCUCUGAGCUUAACUCAGAAACUGCCAUGGAUACUAUUUGUCUUGAAUACUGUGGAGGUAAGCGGAAUAUGUCAUGUAGCGGUGAAAUGCUUAGAUAUGACAUGGAACACCAAUUGCGAAGGCAGCUUACUACACAGUUAUUGACGCUGAGGCACGAAAGCGUGGGGAUCAAACAGG
rnacentral:rRNA from 1 species